CCUACGGGAGGCAGCAGUGGGGAAUAUUGCGCAAUGGGCGAAAGCCUGACGCAGCGACGCCGCGUGAGGGAUGAAGGUCUUCGGAUCGUAAACCUCUGUCAGCAGGGAAGAACGGUCACUGUGCUAAUCAGCAGUGAAUUGACGGCACCUGCAAAGGAAGCACCGGCUAACUCCGUGCCAGCAGCCGCGGUAAUACGGAGGGUGCGAGCGUUUAUCGGAAUUACUGGGCGUAAAGCGCUCGUAGGCGGUAUGGCAAGUCAAGGGUGAAAUCUUCGCGCUUAACGUGGGAACUGCAUUUGAAACUGGAGAGCUGGAGUGUGUGAGAGGAUAGUGGAAUUCCAGGGGUAGGAGUGAAAUGCGUAGAUAUCUGGAGGAACAUCAGUGGCGAAGGCGACAUACUGGCACUUAACUGACGCUGAGGAGCGAAAGCGUGGGUAGCAAACAGGAUUAGAUACCCCUGUAGUC
rnacentral:rRNA from 1 species